GGCACACAGAAUUUAUUACGUCCAUCAUAGCUUACUUAUCAGUAUGUUGCUCUAAUAAACUAUUGUAAAACGGCUCAGUAUAAUAAAAGGCUUGCCCGUUUUGUAUAAUCAUGUUUGCUAAAAUAUGCGUGAGCUUUCUAUAUAUUUAUAUUUUUUUGUUUAUACACGGAGACGUAUACAAGGACAACGCAAUGUUUAAGUUGUCCUUAAGUAAUAUAAAGUAUUGAUUAGGUAUUUUAUUUCAUCGAUGACUUUCUUUAUUGUAUUUAAUAACUUUUGGUAGUUCGAAUUUAAUUUUAUACAUGUACUGUUCUUAUCAAUUUUGCAAGACCCGCUGCUAACCCUACGUCUCGAGACAUUACGCACAUGCUGUACUCGAUAGUAAUGUAUAAUUACAUUGUAUGCUAUUAUCAAUUGAAUUGCUUUCUAAAUAAGAGUCGUAAUAGUGUGAACAAUCUUAACAGUUAUAAUGCUAGCCGUACAACCGUAAUCGUGGCCAGAGCACAGCUUAGUUAUAGCCGCGGUGCGGACGGAAGUGGUCGUCCAAUGCGCGGUGCUUGCCCGAUACAAUAAUUUGUGUGUGACACAUUGUGUGUGAUUCAGUGUUGCAUACACAUGCACUUGAUCGUGAAACUUUCUUAUCGUUUUCAUUGACAUUCCAAAUAAGAAAGCUUUUUUGAUAUUUGUUCACGUGUUUGUUCUUAUUCUACAGUGUUCGUGGAAGGAGGUGUUAUUUAGUAAAUGUUAUUAGUUUCUGAUUACUGAAGUUUGCACAUUAGACGUAAUAUCUAAAUUUCAAUCAGUACAAACAAGACUAAUUUUUAAAUGUGACAGGCACGUAAACGUCACCUGACAAUGUAAUACAUUUAUCAGUGUUUUCCUCUAAUACACACAUCACGAUUCUGCCAGGUUUUUACCAGACUU